rnacentral:rRNA from 1 species
CCUACGGGUGGCAGCAGUGGGGAAUAUUGCGCAAUGGGCGAAAGCCUGACGCAGCGACGCCGCGUGAGGGAUGAAGGUCUUCGGAUCGUAAACCUCUGUCAGCAGGGAAGAACGGUCACUGUGCUAAUCAGCAGUGAAUUGACGGUACCUGCAAAGGAAGCACCGGCUAACUCCGUGCCAGCAGCCGCGGUAAUACGGAGGGUGCGAGCGUUAAUCGGAAUUACUGGGCGUAAAGCGCUCGUAGGUGGUAUGUCAAGUCAAGGGUGAAAGCCCCGCGCUCAACGUGUGAACUGCCUUUGAAACUGGCAAACUGGAGUGUGUGAGAGGAUAGUGGAAUUCCAGGUGUAGGAGUGAAAUCCGUAGAUAUCUGGAGGAACAUCAGUUGCGAAGGCGACUAUCUGGCACAUAACUGACGCUGAGGAGCGAAAGCGUGGGUAGCAAACAGGAUUAGAUACCCGUGUAGUC